GGAAUAUGUAGCAAUACAUUUUCAUGGAUCUGAGAGGCAGCUGCCCCUUUAGAAAGUGCAGGAAAUUUCCAAUUAACUUUAGCUCUCACCAUGCAAGCACAGUGCAUGCAUAUGCACUUAUAUCCAAUUUCACUCAUUUAUCUUUGCCUGUUCUCUGUUAAGUAUUUCAGUUUAUAAUCCUCCACUCUUUCUUGAUGUUAUUAACCUAACCUAUCACCAUGGCAGAUUACAAAAACAACCAGAAAAUUCUUCCCAUUUCCAUACACAUGCCCUGUUGCCAUGUGACCCUACAGCUCUUCCCACAAGGUGGUCCAGCCUAUUUCCCUAUCCUUUUGAUCUGGGAUUAGCCAGUGAUGUGGCACUCAGUGGGAGAGAAGCAUUAUGAUACAAGUAGAGCCUUGAAAGGUUUGCGCAAUGGAGGUUGCCCUUUAUCUUGCUGUGCUUGGAACCCUGGACCACCAUGUGACUGAACACUAACUUGCCUGCUGGAGAACAAGAAGCCACGCAGAGGAUAACAGUGGUGCCACUGAGCCUCAACACUUUGGCUGUUUUGCUAGGAAGUGGGUCCAUGAACUCCUCACUCUGCCAACUUGGAGGUGGAACUUCUCCACUGGAAAUUUCCCCAGCCAGAGAUGCCAUUUUUGCCUGAAGCCCUGAACCAAACUGCAUUAUUUAUUAACUCUUCCAAAGGAGCUCUCUUCAGACAUUGCUGUAGGAGCUAUGGAGCUUGCCACCUGCCUGCUGCUUUCACUGCUAAGGAGUGAUGGACCUAGCCAUGGUGUUUGGAGCUCUGGGAAGUAUGAGAAAACAAGAUGUUCUUCAGAAGGAACAGUGAAAACCAAGAGGCUUAGUGACUUGUUCAGGGUGUAAAUAAAACAAAGGGGUCUCUCCACCAUUCCAUCAAAAUUGUAUGAUUGGUUCACCAAGGUGUAAUAAAGGGAAAAAUAUUCCAGAUGAAAUCCCACGCUGAAAAAAGAAUACCUGUCACUUUAGGCUGUCCUUUGCCAUCUCUCUUAGAAAUUUGGACCUAGUGAAUGGAAAUUAAAGAAUGAGGAAUCUUAAGACCACCUAAUUAUAGUCUUACCUAUUCAAAGGAAUAGUUUUGUGUGCACACCUGUUCUUAUUUUUUGUAAUUACAUACAGUUUUUUAAUUUGUUUCCUUUCCUUUGUUUCCUUUCCUCUCUCUCCAGUCCCUGCCCCUCAGCCCCACCACACACACACCUUCAGUCUAUCUGAAUAUUUUGAUUUGUUCAUUCAACAAAUAGUUCUUGAUCUACUUUUAUAUACCAGGCAUUUUAAGUGAAACCAACUUUGUGUCUUAUAGUUACUUAUAGUUG